AGAAAGGUAGUCUAACCAAAGACAGUUGAUUUCGACUCAACAGAUCAUAGACCCCCUCUAUGCCUCUCUU
rnacentral:tRNA from 1 species